UACGGGGGGGGCAAGCGUUGUUCGGAAUUACUGGGCGUAAAGGGCUCGUAGGCGGCCAACUAAGUCAGACGUGAAAUCCCUCGGCUUAACCGGGGAACUGCGUCUGAUACUGGAUGGCUUGAAUCCGGGAGAGGGAUGCGGAAUUCCAGGUGUAGCGGUGAAAUGCGUAGAUAUCUGGAGGAACACCGGUGGCGAAGGCGGCAUCCUGGACCGUAACUGACGCUGAGGUGCGAAAGCUAGGGGAGCAAACGGG
rnacentral:rRNA from 1 species